AGCGAACGCUGGCGGCAUGCCUAACACAUGCAAGUCGAACGAGACCUUCGGGUCUAGUGGCGCACGGGUGCGUAACGCGUGGGAACCUGCCCUUAGGUUCGGAAUAACUCCCCGAAAGGGGUGCUAAUACCGGAUAAUGUCUUCGGACCAAAGAUUUAUCGCCUUUGGAUGGGCCCGCGUUGGAUUAGCCAGUUGGUAGGGUAAAAGCCUACCAAGGCGACGAUCCAUAGCUGGUCUGAGAGGAUGAUCAGCCACACUGGGACUGAGACACGGCCCAGACUCCUACGGGAGGCAGCAGUGGGGAAUAUUGGACAAUGGGCGAAAGCCUGAUCCAGCAAUGCCGCGUGAGUGAUGAAGGCCUUAGGGUUGUAAAGCUCUUUUACCCGGGAUGAUAAUGACAGUACCGGGAGAAUAAGCUCCGGCUAACUCCGUG
rnacentral:rRNA from 1 species